rnacentral:rRNA from 1 species
UACGUAGGGUGCAAGCGUUGUCCGGAAUUAUUGGGCGUAAAGAGCUCGUAGGCGGUUUGUCGCGUCUGCUGUGAAACCCGAGGCUCAACCUCGGGCCUGCAGUGGGUACGGGCAGACUAGAGUGCGGUAGGGGAGAUUGGAAUUCCUGGUGUAGCGGUGGAAUGCGCAGAUAUCGAGGAGGAACACCAAUGGCGAAGGCAGAUCUGCUGGGCCGUAACUGACGCUGAGGAGCGAAAGGCGUGGGAGC